rnacentral:hammerhead_ribozyme from 1 species
AUCCAGCUGAUGAGUCCCAAAUAGAACGAAACGCUGUCCUGGAU